UGUAGUUCUCAUGUGGCUUUCACCACCUCCUGGCUUAACCCAUUCUUCUCGGAGGCUGUUUGAGGAUGCAUCCUGCCUUUCAUUCGGUUCUGCAGCGGGGACGGUCAUAUCGGAGCCUUCUCGGUGGCACUUGGGCUUGCUCCUGCACACUGACAUGCCACCCCAUGCCAAACUCUCCCUAGGUGUACAUGACGAUGGGAGUGAGCGGAGGUAUGGGGUUGCAUGGCAGGAGCAUCUGGGACUUUCUACAGCUAGUGUUUGCAUCACAGUCGUCAUAGGAGAAGGAGCAGCACCCACCUUUAUCUCGUUCCUCGUUCCUGCUCUGCUGCUGCAUUUGAAGGGAGGACCCUCAGGCUCAUGGAUAUCAGAGGCGUCAACAGAUACGUCCAGACUCUCUGGUACUGCGAUAUUAUGCUCCUUCAGUGCAGUUCCUGAUGGAUCUGUCCCCAGAAAUCACUCGUUUCUGAAGAACUACUGAGCCCCGGGUGACAGUUAGAUUACCCCAAACGUGUUACAAGAGAGGCUGGCCUUGAAAAUGCUGAGCUGCUUUGCUGGCUGUGCUGGAAAUCAACCCCGUGAGAAGGAGAUCCUUAGAAGAGGCCGUCAUCAUCUCCUCCGGGCCAACACUGAAGAACCUGAGCCAAGAAAAUAUGGUGCUUGGGCACCAUCCCUGCACCAGCGUUUUGAUGCCGCACCCACUGGCGUUAUGCUCUGAAAGGGGAGAUGCCAUGUAGAGGGGCAGGAUUUUUGCAGAUAUUUGUUUUUGAAAGCGCAGUGAGCUGCCGACCUGGAUAAGUUGUGUGUACCUCUUGCACAGCUCUCAGCGCUGAGCUCACUGGUAGCCUUCGCGCAUUUGAGGGACUGGUUCCUUGCAUCACGUCAGGGCUGCUUCCUGUUAGAGGUUUCAAAGAGGUAAAACAUAGUGCAGCUGCUGUGCUUUCCGCUUACUGUACCAAGGUGUAGCUCUGAUUGCUUUGCCCUAUAUCAGCCUGCAGAAAAUGCCCUUCUUGGCACUAUUUCAGGCUGCGAAUUAAUUUUUUUUUUCCUUUUCUUUUUUUUUUUUGAUUUCUUCCCUUUUUUUCCUGUUUCUCUUUUUCAUUUUUAUACUGCCGCUGCAUCACAUAAUGCUGGGACAGGAUAAAAAUCAGCCACCGAGAAACUUUUAAAAAUC
rnacentral:lncRNA from 1 species